rnacentral:rRNA from 1 species
GUGGGGAAUAUUGGACAAUGGGGGGAACCCUGAUCCAGCCAUGCCGCGUGUGUGAAGAAGGCCUUUUGGUUGUAAAGCACUUUAAGCGAGGAGGAGGCUACCGAGAUUAAUACUCUUGGAUAGUGGACGUUACUCGCAGAAUAAGCACCGGCUAACUCUGUGCCAGCAGCCGCGGUAAUACAGAGGGUGCAAGCGUUAAUCGGAUUUACUGGGCGUAAAGCGCGCGUAGGUGGCCACUUAAGUCAAAUGUGAAAUCCCCGAGCUUAACUUGGGAAUUGCAUUCGAUACUGGUUGGCUAGAGUAUGGGAGAGGAUGGUAGAAUUCCAGGUGUAGCGGUGAAAUGCGUAGAGAUCUGGAGGAAUACCGAUGGCGAAGGCAGCCAUCUGGCCUAAUACUGACACUGAGGUGCGAAAGCAUGGGGAGCAAACAGGAUUAGAAACCCCGGUAGUCC